AUGGAAAGGAAAAAGGAGACAUGGAGAACACUACGGGUCCUAAAACAACAACACCAGGGAGGGAGACCUUGGCUCUGUAUUGGUGACUUCAAUGAGAUACUGACGAGUACAGAGAAAACAGGAGGAGCAGCUCGACCCAAACACUAUCUAGAUGGUUUCCGGGAGGCUAUGCAAGUUUGUGAACUAGAGGACAUUGGGUUCGAAGGAGAUAUGUACACAUGGAGGAACCAUAGCAAAGAAAGGUUAGACAGAGCCAUAGCAAAUGAGGAGUGGUGCAUGCAGUUCCCGGACUAUGCAGUUAUCAAUGGUACGCCUAGACACUCUGAUCAUCGCCCUGUUGUU
rnacentral:rRNA from 1 species